rnacentral:rRNA from 1 species
CUAUUAAUUCAUAGCAUGGUUCGGAUUAAUACUUGAAAUGAGUAUUAUGAAGUAGGAAUGGUGAGUAAUCAUUGAUCAUUAUUGC